UGCAAGUCGAACGGCAGCACGGGGGCAACCCUGGUGGCGAGUGGCGAACGGGUGAGUAAUACAUCGGAACGUGCCCAGUCGUGGGGGAUAACGUAGCGAAAGCUACGCUAAUACCGCAUACGAUCUAAGGAUGAAAGCGGGGGACCGUAAGGCCUCGCGCGAUUGGAGCAGCCGAUGGCAGAUUAGGUAGUUGGUGGGGUAAAGGCUCACCAAGCCGACGAUCUGUAGCUGGUCUGAGAGGACGACCAGCCACACUGGGACUGAGACACGGCCCAGACUCCUACGGGAGGCAGCAGUGGGGAAUUUUGGACAAUGGGCGCAAGCCUGAUCCAGCCAUUCCGCGUGCAGGAUGAAGGCCCUCGGGUUGUAAACUGCUUUUGUACGGAACGAAAAGGCUCUGGUUAAUACCUGGGGCGCAUGACGGUACCGUAAGAAUAAGCACCGGCUAACUACGUGCCAGCAGCCGCGGUAAUACGUAGGGUGCAAGCGUUAAUCGGAAUUACUGGGCGUAAAGCGUGCGCAGGCGGUCUUGUAAGACAGAGGUGAAAUCCCCGGGCUCAACCUGGGAACUGCCUUUGUGACUGCAAGGCUGGAGUACGGCAGAGGGGGAUGGAAUUCCGCGUGUAGCAGUGAAAUGCGUAGAUAUGCGGAGGAACACCGAUGGCGAAGGCAAUCCCCUGGGCCUGUACUGACGCUCAUG
rnacentral:rRNA from 1 species